rnacentral:lncRNA from 1 species
AAUGCCAUUGGAUUGGAGCUGUUCAUGCAGAUGAUGAUGUGGCACGAUCAGGAGUAGGUGCGUCAAAUCAUUUGAUCAAUGGUCGGUCUGGAUGUUGUCACGUAUCAUCAUCUGAUGAGACUUCGAUUUGACCAUUUUCAUCCUGACUGUUGAUGGAUCCUAUAUAUAUAGGGUCACUUUUGGUCAAACUUUUACUUUGCAUUUUGUCUUCAUCCUCUGC